AAUCUGUGUCUCUCUGAGCUUCAUCAACUUUAAACCCCAUCUCUCUUCUCAUUCUCUUCAGUCUUCAUCACGCAGAACACACAGCCUCCUCUCACGCUCAGCCUCUCUGUGUGCAUCGGCGUUUGGUGGGUUUCGGGGUUGUCGGCGUUUGGCGCUAUGCCUUCAAUGGCGCAAGGAGGUCUCAGAAACUUUACGGAAAACCCUAACCAACUCAACCGCAAGUUCCCCAACCACGAAGCUAAAGUUGACCCCUUUUCCAGGAAGCAAAAGAUUGCACAACAUAGAAAGUCUCUUCCAAUCGCUUCGGUUGAGAAAAGACUAGUUGAUGAGGUGAGAAAGAAUGAUACUUUGAUUAUUGUUGGUGAAACCGGAAGUGGAAAAACUACCCAGUUGCCACAGUUUCUAUUUAAUGCGGGAUUUUAUCAGGAUGGGAGGACUAUUGGGAUUACUCAACCUAGACAUGUUGCUGCUGUGACCGUCGCCAAACGGGUUGCUGAGGAAUGUGAUGUGCAGUUGGGGCAAAGAGUUGGCUACUCCAUUAGAUUUGAUGAUACGACUUCUGGCUCGACAGGAUCAAAUACAUGACAGAUGGGUUGCUAUUGAGGGAAGCAUUAUUGGAUCCAUAUCUCUCUAAGUAUUCGGUGAUUAUUGUUGAUGAAGCCCAUGAGAGGACUGUCCAUACUGAUGUUUUGCUGGGCUUGCUUUAAAAUGUGCAAAAAGCAAGGUCAAAAACUUCCAAUGACCGCCUUAAUUUGAAAACAAGAGGACAAAUGAUUGCACUUUGCUGGAUAAAGAUAAUGAAGAUCAGGCCAUUAGUUUUCUCAAGCAGUGCCAAGGCAGCAAAUUCCCUCCAUUAAAGUUAGUCAUCAUAUCUGCCAGCUUGGAUGCACGUGGUUUCUCUGAGUACUUUGGUGGUGCAAAAGCUGUUCAAUCCAGGGUCGACAAUUUCCUGUGGAUAUUUUUUUACACUCAUUAUGCUGAGCCAGAUUAUUUAGAUGCAGCCUUAAUCACCAUUUUCCAGAUUCAUCUGGAGGAGGGCCCUGGUGACAUACUUGUAUUUUUGACUGGGCAAGAAGAGAUUGAAUCUGUUGAAUGACUUAUCAAGGAACGACUUCAACAAUUACCUGAAGGAAGACAAAAGUUGUUAACUGCUCCCAUAUUUUCGGCUCUUCCAUCAGAAAAGCAGAUGCGAGUUUUUGCACCAGCUCCAACCGGUUUUCGUAAGGUCAUUUACUGUUGAAUGUCAGCUUUUAUUUAGUGUCUUGUGCAAAGAUUUAAUUUGAUGCUCGUUGAUUUUAAAUAUCUAUGAUACUUAUAAAUUAUCUGAAUCUGGGAAAAGUGAUGAUAUUUUUAGACAGUGAACAUUGAUCCUAUUUCAAUGUAAGCCAUAGCUGUUGUGUCUAAUGCCAUUUGGCAUCCAGAAUGUUUACGCAUCAAGACAGCAUUGUGUUGUAGAACCAUCUUCUUCAGAAGAAUUGUAAAAUGGAAUACAUUGAUUAAGAAAAGAGAAAGAAACGGACCGAGAUUCAAUUUGA